ACAGCCUCCCUGCAGACACUUGGGGUGGGGGCAGCCCUCCAGGAGUAGGGGUGCUUCUGGAAGUUCCCCCGGUCCUGGGUCUCAGGGGCAGCCCCAGCUCCUCCUAACCCUCUAAGGUCCCCUGGUCCUGGGUCUCAGGGGCAGCCUCAGCUCCUCCUAACCCUGGAAGGUCCCCCGGCCCUGGGUCUCAGGGGCAGCCCCAGCUCCUCCUAAAUCCUGUGUCUCAGCAGCACUUUGUGUUUGCUACGUUAAUUUCCAGGUGCCCACUCAGACUCCUGUGGAGCCACCUGUGGGUGCACCUUCCUCAGAAGAGACAGUCCCACCCCACUACCCUUAUGUCAUAGAAUGCUGUCACUGGGCCUUCCUAACUGUACCCACAUCUGUCUCUCAUUUUGUGACAAAACGGAACUCCUAGGCAUGGAUUUGCAUUUGAAACCACAUCCAUUGUUAAUGUCAGAGCAAGAAAAAGCUGUCACGUGUUCAUCAUUCCAGUGAGGGUUACACCAAGAAGCAUCUUCUGCACAUACUGUGCUGUGCCUAGUCCACGUACCAAGGCUGCAGGAGCAAAGGGGACAGGUCCCAGAGGCUCUGGAAGGGCAGAGAAGCCAGGCGUGGAAGGGCAGAGAGGGCCCUCGUGGCCAACAGCCUCUCCCGAAGAGACAGUACGAAGGAAGGCCUGGGCGUGAGAACAGAUGUGGGGGACACAGAGGCAGAGGCCACGUGGAGGGGAAACAGGCUGGUGGACCAGGGCGCUUGGGGCCUGGGGAGGGAUUUGGAUCUCAUUCUCUGUAAGGUGUGGGGAGUGGUCCUGUCUGCUCUGGGACCACAGGGGCAGGAGCCAGUACAGGCCAUUGUGUGAGGGCAGGUGGCCAGGUCACCGUCCUGCACCAGGGCCUGCAGCCGCAGCCCCCUCCACAGCCCUCGGCAUGCAGCACCAGGACGCUGUGGAUCUCCCCACUCUGUAGGAACAGCUGCCACUUCCUGGGUUCCCAUUCCCCUGAGGAACGUGUUCCGUAACAUCUGUGCAGCAUCCACUGGGGGCCAGGUGCAGUUCUAGGCUCUAGAGACAGUGGGUCCAGCGCAGACAGGAACCUCCACUCAGCGUGGAGAGGAGUGAGGCUGGGAGCGGCUGCGCAGGACAGCUGCGGGGAAGAGGGAGGGCAGAGGAGGGGCGCGUCGGGGAGUGCCACGGAAGGCCUCAGCAAA